GCGCGGAGGCCGUCGGACUCUGACUGCGCGGAGACCGCUGGACUCUGGUCGCGGCCUUAGUCCGCUGAUCCUCGCUUGGGUGCCCGCCCUUAGCGGCCCGGCGUUGAAUUCCGGGAAGUGGGAGCUUCAGGCUCGCUCCGUGCGGAGGCGGGGUUUUGUCAUGUUGCUAGGUUGGUGUUGAACUCCUGAGCUCGAGCGAUCCACCUGCCACUGCCUUCCAAAGUGCUGGAAUUACAGGCGUGAGCCACGGCGCCCGGUGGCCGAGGUUAAUAAUAAUUAAAAGUUUCUAAUCCCAUUGUUCAGUUAUUUGAUUUGGUGUAAAGGCGCACUUUCCAAGUCAGAUGAGUUUGUGGUAACAUGCAUUCCCCAAAUAAUUAUUUUUCCCUUGUGGGAAAUAUUCCAGUUUUAGGCUGCCAGCUGUUUAAACAGUUUGGUUCAAAUCCUUCAAAAAAAUCUCAAAACAUAACUCCACAUAUGUAUUUACUACAUAUUGAAGGGUAUAUUCACUUGGAGAAGUAGGAGAAAGCAAACAGAUGCCAAUGGCCUUUUUGAAAACAUGUAUCUAUCAGCAAUAAUUGAAUAGCAAAACGAAGUGGAACACUACCAUCCUUUGCAAUAUUAGACAGUUUUAAUACUGGGUUGUGAGGAAUGAAAAGAUCAUACAAAUCGUCAUUUCUGAAGUCAUUUCUGAAGUCGUCAUUUCUGAACUGAGUGCUAAUUUUUCAUAUUAAGCUUUAUGUUAAUAUCCUUAAUGAGAGGAACUUCCUGUGCCCGUAAUUUCUCCAGAGAAACUAUUAACAUACACAGAAUGUUGUAAUCAGAAGUAUAGUUCAG
rnacentral:lncRNA from 1 species